AGAUGCAUUUCCUAGUUCACAAAUUGUGUAAUGAUUCUUGUCAGGGCACACUUUUCUUGGCUGCUUACCUAGUGCCAAGUCGUGUGCCUAUUGCUGUAAGACAUACUGAGAUGUGAACCAAACAACAAGAAAUUGUUGUUUCCCGUGGGAAGAUCUUGGAGCUGCUUCGCCCAGACCCCAACACUGGCAAAGUACAUACCCUACUCACUGUGGAAGUAUUCGGUGUUAUCCGGUCACUCAUGGCCUUUAGGCUGACAGGUGGCACCAAAGACUACAUUGUAGUUGGCAGUGACUCUGGUCGAAUUGUUAUUUUGGAAUACCAGCCAUCUAAGA
rnacentral:lncRNA from 1 species